rfam:Cyanothece sp. PCC 8801, complete genome.
AUGCUUGUUUGGCUUACGCCGUAGACAGCAGGGGCAAUUUGCUUAAUGUCCUGCCGAGGUUGAGGCCUGAUGAAAGGUAAACAAUAGGGAGAAAAAGGGACUUUAGUCUGCUUUUUUGUCCUGUGUUUGCCCGACCUCAGCCCCGGCGCAAUGCUUAGGGGUUAUUUUUUUGCCAA